AAUUCGCCCUUCGUGCCAGCAGCCGCGGUAAUACGUAGGGUGCGAGCGUUAAUCGGAAUUACUGGGCGUAAAGCGAGCGCAGACGGUUAAUUAAGUCAGAUGUGAAAUCCCCGAGCUCAACUUGGGACGUGCAUUUGAAACUGGUUAACUAGAGUGUGUCAGAGGGAGGUAGAAUUCCACGUGUAGCAGUGAAAUGCGUAGAGAUGUGGAGGAAUACCGAUGGCGAAGGCAGCCUCCUGGGAUAACACUGACGUUCAUGCUCGAAAGCGUGGGUAGCAAACAGGAUUAGAUACCCUGGUAGUCCACGCCCUAAACGAUGACAAUUAGCUGUUGGGACACUAGAUGUCUUAGUAGCGAAGCUAACGCGUGAAAUUGUCCGCCUGGGGAGUACGGUCGCAAGAUUAAAACUCAAAGGAAUUGACGGGGACCCGCACAAGCGGUGGAUGAUGUGGAUUAAUUCGAUGCAACGCGAAGAACCUUACCUGGUCUUGACAUGUACGGAAUCUCUUAGAGAUAGGAGAGUGCCUUCGGGAACCGUAACACAGGUGCUGCAUGGCUGUCGUCAGCUCGUGUUGUGAAAUGUUGGGUUAAGUCCCGCAACGAGCGCAACCCUUAUCCUUUGUUGCCAGCGAUUAGGUCGGGAACUCAAAGGAGACUGCCGGUGACAAACCGGAGGAAGGUGGGGAUGACGUCAAGUCCUCAUGGCCCUUAUGACCAGGGCUUCACACGUCAUACAAUGGUCGGUACAGAGGGUAGCGAAGCCGCGAGGUGAAGCCAAUCUCAGAAAGCCGAUCGUAGUCCGGAUUGCACUCUGCAACUCGAGUGCAUGAAGUCGGAAUCGCUAGUAAUCGCAGGUCAGCAUACUGCGGUGAAUACGUUCCCGGGUCUUGUACACACCGCCCGUCACACCAUGGGAGUGGGGGAUACCAGAAUUGGGUAGACUAACCGCAAGGAGGUCGCUUAACACGGUAUGCUUCAUGACUGGGGUGAAGUCGUAAC
rnacentral:rRNA from 1 species